rnacentral:lncRNA from 1 species
CACCGACAUCAGGACUGCAACCGGAGAACGUGAGGCAUGUAUUGCAGGGCACCAAGCAAGGAGAAUCAGGCAGCUGGUGCCUAAGACUGGGACUCUCAGAUGGCUUACAGACAGGGUCUCACCCUGUCACCCAGGCUGGAGUGCAGUGGUAUAAACAUGGCUCACUUCUGUCAAGCCUGGCCUUUGCUUCAUUCUGUACCCUGAACUUCUGGAAGCAGAAACAUAAGAACUGGCACUGUGUGCUCUAAAGACAAAGAAUAAAUGAGUGAAAGAUGAAUAAAUAAAUGACCG